UUUCCUUCCAUUUUCCGUCAACCUUCCGUUCUUCACAAGGAAGUUCACAAAUAAGAACCCCUCUUCAUGCCCGCAAAGAAUUGCAUACCAAAACAAGAUGGCCAUCUCUUCCUCCGAAACCAAUCUAGCCACCGCGAAGACAUUCCUGUCAACCGCGGCCUCCGUCGCAGCCACGUUUAUGCUAGCUCGAUCAAUUGCUCAAGAUUUCUUACCCUGUGAAUUCCAUGAUUACUUUCUCUUAAAUAUUCGCAAGUUCUUUAAUCGUUUCUCGUCCCAACUCACCAUGGUUAUUGAUGAAUUUGAUGGUUUUGCUCACAACCAACUAUACGAGGCAGCAGAGAUUUACUUGGGCAGCAAAAUAUCUCCAUCAACACAAAGAUUCAAAGUAAGCAAACCCGAGAAAGAAAAAAAUUUCACUGUGAAAAUGGAAGGGAAUGAAGAAAUCAUAGAUGUCUUUCAAGGUGUGAAAUUCAAGUGGGUUUUUGUUUGCACACAAGUCGAGUCAAGAAACCAUUUCCACCGAUUUGAUCACCAGUACUCCACAUCAGAAGUGAGAUAUUUUGAGGUAAGUUUUCCCAAAAAACAAAAAGAAAUGGCUCUCCAAUCUUAUUUGCCUUAUAUUGUCAACGAAUCAAAAUCCAUGGAGCAAGUGAAGAAGACAUUGAAGAUUUUCACCGUUGACUAUCAGAACAUGUAUGGAAAUUUAACUGAUGCAUGGAAACCAGUGAAUCUCGAUCAUCCUGCUACUUUCGAAACACUUGCCAUGGACCCAGAACUCAAAGACACAAUCUUGAAAGAUCUUGAAAGGUUUUUGAAGAGGAAAGAUUAUUAUAGGAAGGUAGGAAAGGCUUGGAAAAGAGGGUAUUUGUUGUAUGGGCCGCCAGGGACUGGAAAAUCAAGCUUGAUCGCUGCAAUGGCUAAUUAUCUGAAUUUUGAUAUAUAUGACUUGGAGUUGACUGACCUAAGGUGCAAUUCGGAGCUUAGAAGGUUGCUUAUUGCCACUGCUAAUCGGUCAAUAUUGGUGGUGGAGGAUAUCGAUUGCACAAUUGAGCUGCAGGAUCGAUUGGCUGAAGCAACUGCUGCACAAUCUCACGGUUAUCCACCGCAAAAUCAGAUGACAUUGUCAGGAUUUCUUAAUUUCAUAGAUGGAUUAUGGUCUAGUUGUGGUGACGAACGAAUCAUAAUUUUCACAACAAAUCACAAAGAAAAGCUAGACCCAGCAUUGCUGCGACCUGGAAGAAUGGAUGUUCAUGUUCAUAUGUCUUACUGCACCCCAAGUGGAUUUAGACUUCUUGCUGAUAAUUACCUUGGGAUCAAAGACCACUUAUUGUUUGGAGAGAUUGUGGACUUGAUUAGCAUAGCACAAGUGACACCAGCAGAAGUGGCAGAGCAACUGAUGAGGAGUGAUGAACUUGAGACUGUGCUUAAUGAUUUGAUUCAAUUUCUCAGUGUGAAAAGGAAAGAAAUUGAGGAAGAAGAAAAGGCUAAACAAAUCAAAGGAGAAUCAGAGGUUAACAAAGAAGAAGAUCAAGCUGUGGAACAAGCCAAGUCUGUCAAGGAUGAGGAAACUUGUAAUGAUGAUGACGAAAGAGCAAUUAUUGUCUAGUGCCUAAUAAUUGGUGGUUUUUUUUUUUUAGCAGCUAAUAAUCAGUGAUGUUAAAUUUUAUAUCAAGUGAUUUAACCAUAGAAAUGGGUUUCUUGUGCAGCCCAAUUCAAACUUCAUAUUUUUCAAAUAUGAGCCCCAUG
rnacentral:misc_RNA from 1 species